UAGUGAGAAAAUGGAACCCUAACACCGUCACAACCUGCAGUUUAGAUGUGGAAAGAUAAUGGCGUGUGACCUUGGUGCAUACAGAAUUAGAAUUGGCUAUUGUUAACCUAAAUUCAUCUUUUUCAUGUCGAGGAGAGCACAACGAAGGACCGCCAUGUAUCAGCGCGUGUUGCACGUGCCUGACUGCACGAGGACCGGUCUCCAACUUUGUUCACGUCUCUGCUGCUCAUACUGACCAGUAAUGACGUUGAGAAAAACCCGGGGCCACCGAGGCGACAAACAACCCUUGAUGGUAAGGUUUGUUUCGUCUGAACUUUUAAAGAAGUGAAAGAUAUGCGCCAGGAAAUAAAUGAAAACUUCAAUAAACUGUCACCGAAAAUCACACAGCUCGAGGACGAUGUCGUCGGCUUGAUGGAAGAUAAUACCGACCUGAGGAGACAGUUAACACACUUUCUGAAAAAAAUUAAAUCCUAGAGAAUAAACACAGAAUGAACAACCUGAUACUCCACAACAUUCCAGUGGAGAUUAGCGAAUCUGAAAAGAAUAUUGACGAUAAAGUUCGGGAUGUAAUCAGCGAUUCGUUGGAAAUCACACAUGAAAUUGAUAUAGUGAAUAUUAAACGCAUAUCAUCCAAAUCUUCAGGUGCUUGUCCUAUUCUAAUCACACAAAAGGACCUGAAAACAGAAAGGACUUAUAUUGAGAGCUUCAGGAAAACUGAAAGGUAAACCAAUGAGUAUAUCCCAAGACUUCAGUGAGAAAACUAGACAAACUCGGAGAAAAUUGAAGAUAUUUAUGGACAAGGCUAGAGAUGAGGAUAAAUAUGCUGCACUGAGACUUGACAAGCUGCAAAUCGACAACAAACUUUACAAACUAAACAGCAAUGGCGAGGAACUGUUGCCUAUCAAAACGUUACCAUGGAAACAAAAAAAACCAUCCGACCCAACACAAGCAGGAUAUAGAGAUGUGACCAAAGCCCAGGACUGAUAAAGCGCAAAUAUAAUCCCCCUUCUGUCUGUGCAACGCCUCUCUGACUUUCUUGGUCUGCCAAGAGACGAUGAACUGUGUCAAGCCAUUGCUGACAAAUGUCACGUUUCUAACAUGAGAAGAGACAAAGAAAAAUACUCCACUCAAUCUGAUGGGAAAACAUGCUAUAUCGAAAAGGUAUUAUUGGCGACUGGAAGAACUACUUCACAGACCAAAUGCUGGAGGACUACUAUCGGGUGUAUGAAGAAAAAAAUGGCCGGCUCGAGAUUCUACAAACUGU